AACUUUCAACAACGGAUCACUUGGCUCUCGCAUCGAUGAAGAACGCAGCGAAAUGCGAUAAGUAAUGUGAAUUGCAGAAUUCAGUGAAUCAUCGAAACUUUGAACGCAUCUUGCGCUCCUUGGUAUUCCGAGGAGCAUGCCUGUUUGAGUGUCAUUCAACUUCUCAACCACAUCAUAGGUGGCUUGGACGUGGGGGUUGUUUGCAGGCUUUUCGUUCUACAGAAGGUCGGCUCCCCUGAAACAUAUUAGUGGUAUCUGGGCUGCUGCUGUAGUUGUGAUAAAGUAUCUAUGCCUUUGGUAAGCUGCAUGAACAGAUUGCGCUGCUUAUAACAAAAAGAUUGAAUCUGAUGAAUUUGACCUCAAGUCAGGUAGGACUACCCGCUGAACUUAAGCAUAUCAAUAAGCGGAGGCU
rnacentral:misc_RNA from 1 species